CCUACGGGUGGCAGCAGUGGGGGAUAUGCACAAUGGGGGGAACCCUGAUGCAGCGACGCCGCGUGGGUGAAGAAACGCCUCGGCGCGUAAAGCCCUGUCAGCAGGGAAGAAAAUGACGGUACCUGAAGAAGAAGCCCCGGCUAACUACUUGCCAGCAGCCGCGGUAAUACGGAGGGGGCAAGCGUUAUCCGGAUUUACGGGGUGUAAAGGGGGCGCAGACGGCGAUGCAAGCCAGGAGUGAAAGCCCGGGGCCCAACCCCGGGACUGCUCUUGGAACUGCGUGGCUGGAGUGCAGGAGGGGCAGGCGGAAUUCCUGGUGUAGCGGUGAAAUGCGUAGAUAUCAGGAGGAACACCGGUGGCGAAGGCGGCCUGCUGGACUGCAACUGACGUUGAGACCCGAAAGCGUGGGGAGCAAACAGGAUUAGAUACCCUUGUAGUC
rnacentral:rRNA from 1 species